rnacentral:rRNA from 1 species
CAGUCGCCGCGGUAAUACGUAGGUGGCAAGCGUUGUCCGGAAUUAUUGGGCGUAAAGGGCUCGCAGGCGGUUUCUUAAGUCUGAUGUGAAAGCCUCCGGCUCAACCGGGGAGGGUCAUUGGAAACUGGGAAACUUGAGUGCAGAAGAGGAGAGUGGAAUUCCACGUGUAGCGGUGAAAUGCGUAGAGAUGUGGAGGAACACCAGUGGCGAAGGCGACUCUCUGGUCUGUAACUGACGCUGAGGAGCGAAAGCGUGGGGAGCGAACAGGAUUAGAUACCCGUGUAGUCCCUGUCUCUUAUAC